rnacentral:lncRNA from 1 species
GUGCUGGGCUAGCCCUUCAUUACUGUCGUUGUGCUCCUCACGCUCACUGCAUGCAACUCAUUACACUGUUCAAAAUUAUCAUUUUGGCUCUGUAUAAAAUUGUUUAUUCCAAUUGAACGUGCACAUUGUGUCCAAUUGAUAUUGUACUAUCAAAGACAUCGUUACCAUUUACUCCAAGAUCAACACCAAGAGUGGCAAUGUCUUCAAGAGUAGAAAGAGGCCCAGUGUUUUCGUACCACUGUCCACUUAGGAAAGAGUUGCAGCUUUCAUCAAAGAAACUGAUGAUCUAAAAGUUGAGACAGACUGGAUGAGCUAGGCUGCUUUGUCUGGACGAAAAUGAACCGACGAUGGACUGACACCGCCCGCUGGCCUGGCCAUUACUGAUUCUUGAGGACAUGAGGACCACCAAGCUUGGACGAGACUGGACAAUGACGAAGCUGCUCUACUGGACAAGGAUGCCCUCAUUGGAAACUUGAGUUAAAAAAAACUAGCCUGUACAAUAUGAAAUGAUAAAUCGACUGCAUAAUGCAACGUCAUUAAUGUUAUACACUAAGGCAACAACAAUAAAAUAAAAUGAAAAGUAAUUUUGAUUUCAUUAAAUUAUUUAUGCCUCUAAAAUAAUCUUAAACCGGAUACUGCAACAGACAGUUAACAAUGGACAAUAAUGGAAACUUGCUGAACAAUUAUUGUAAGGGUAAUAAUUUGUCACUGGCUUUUUAGCAGUGACCUGUCUGAGAGAAGGGAUGUUCCUUUGAUCUGUCCUUGGUCAUCCAAAAUUAUUGCACCAAUAAGUUAAUAUUUCAUACUCCUUACCUUAAUGCAUUCAAUUGGAUCUUCUCGGUAAAUUAUAAACGAGGUUUUGCCUAAGGCUUUCUAUUUGCUUUUUGUUCAGUUGACAAUGGAGAAUUUUGCUCUAUAAAUUUAAUUUGAUAUUGAAAGUGCAUUUUUAAGAAAACCAAUUUAAGUCAUAAGAGUUUUGAAAGAUUUCAAAAAGGAUUAAUUUAUUGUUUAAAAACUGAAGAAAUGUAACAAACUUUAUUUAAAUUUAACGUCUUUAACAAGACGUCGGUUAACUAAAACGUGACUUUCUUUCCAUUGUAUAUUUAUUAGAAAACACCAGAACGUUUAAUUUUUAGGAAAAUUUAAAGAAACUGUUCAGGAACUUCUAUCCAUCAAAAUGUAUUGCAACAGGUGUAAGUGACACUCAAAUUACAUUUGUGUUUGUCCUUUUGUGAUUUAUUUCAUUGCACUUUUUUUACUUGUUAUAUUUUGUACUUCGUAUGCACAAUUGUUUUUCUUGGUGGUUUUGCAUGUCUUUUCAUUUUCUUAUUAAUAAUUAACUAACCUCACAAAAG